AUUCCAGCUCCAAUAGCGUAUAUUAAAGUUGUUGCAGUUAAAAAGCUCGUAGUUGGAUUUCUGGUGGGGACGUUUGGCCGGCCGUAACGGUUUGCGCUGAAAUGUUCUUCGCCAUCCUUGACGAAUACUGGUUCGCCAUUAAGUUGUGUGGGCUUGGAGUCGUCAUCGUUUACUGUGAAAAAAUUAGAGUGUUCAAAGCAGGCUUAUGCCGUUGAAUACAUUAGCAUGGAAUAAUAAGAUAGGACCCUGGUACUAUUUUGUUGGUUUGCGUACCUAGGUAGUGAUUAAUAGGGACAGUUGGGGGUAUUUGUAUUCCGUUGUCAGAGGUGAAAUUCUUGGAUUUACGGAAGACAAACUACUGCGAAAGCAUUUACCAAGGAUGUUUUCAUCG
rnacentral:rRNA from 1 species